AUUGAACGCUGGCGGCAUGCUUUACACAUGCGAGUCGAACGGCAGCGCGGGCUUCGGCCUGGCGGCGAGUGGCGAACGGGUGAGUAAUGCAUCGGAACGUGCCCAGUAGUGGGGGAUAGCCCGGCGAAAGCCGGAUUAAUACCGCAUACGACCUGAGGGUGAAAGCGGGGGACCGAAAGGCCUCGCGCUAUUGGAGCGGCCGAUGUCGGAUUAGCUAGUUGGUGGGGUAAAGGCUUACCAAGGCGACGAUCCGUAGCUGGUCUGAGAGGACGACCAGCCACACUGGGACUGAGACACGGCCCAGACUCCUACGGGAGGCAGCAGUGGGGAAUUUUGGACAAUGGGGGCAACCCUGAUCCAGCCAUGCCGCGUGCGGGAAGAAGGCCUUCGGGUUGUAAAACGCUUUUGUUCGGGAAGAAAUCCUCUGGGCUAAUACCCCGGGGGGAUGACGGUACCGGAAGAAUAAGCACCGGCUAACUACGUG
rnacentral:rRNA from 1 species